GGGGUGUGCUCAGAGCAGGCGGUCUGAAGAAUGGCUCCUCUGUUUACAACAUACCCAAGAAGAAUCUGGGAUCAUUGUGACGAGAGGCACAACAUGUGUGACUUCUCAAUGAACAAAUGCUCUACACAU
ensembl:snoRNA